rnacentral:sRNA from 1 species
ACCCACCUUUCAAUGUUCAUAAUAUGCACCAUGAAGUGAUUUUAUGAAUAACAACUGAUGAUUUAGAUGGAUAAGUGAUUUCUAAUUAUCUUCAAACUGUUUAGAAAGUAUGAAAUCUGUCAAUCUAUAACGCCCUUGGGCUGAUACAACACCGAGCCACGCGUAGAGACACCCCGGACGGCCCAGAUAUCACCCACACAGCAUCACUACCAGUACCGAUGCAAAAGAACACUGCUUCUAUCUCUAAGACAUGAAAGACACUUCUGCAUGUCGUAUAAUAUUUCAAGGUAAUGAGUGAUCUAGGUAUCUUGUACAAAGAAUCUGAUGAAGGUAAAGAAACAGAUCAUUUCCUCAACACGUCAUACCUAUCUCUUGUUUAUAUGGACUCAGAUUGAGUAGAACUUUUGAACAGUGAAUGUAAAUCUAUCCCAGAUUUCAUCUUCAAGUUAGUAGAAGUAUCUAUUUUGUAAUAUGCAUUCAAGCAAUCUUAUAUAUUCUUAAGUUUUAAUGAGAG